CAGUGGAUUCUUAAAAAAUAAUCCACUGACCACCAUGUUAACUUAAGAUAACUUAUGUCAUAACUUUAAGCUUUUAACUUACGAAAUGUAAUCCUCUCAAAAACGAGUGACAGAUGAAAGGUUCGAUCCCGCGCGUAUUUUCGUCAGUGAAGUUUGUAGUCUAUGCAUGAUACCACUAGACCACGAGCACUUAUAUAAAAUAAUAUUUUAAUAUCACUCUUAAAGCGUAUAUUGGUCAAUACAUGUCAAUAAACUGUAUUUAUGUCUUUUUGAUAUAUAAUAAAAUAAAUAACACCAUACAAUCAAGGAAUUGUAAGUAUUACUUAUUAGAACAGUUCCUUUAUAAAAUAAACAUCCAUGAACACAUUACACUUAUCACUUUUAACGUACAAGGCCUUCCCCUUUUCAUCAUAACAAAUUUUUACUUUUGGAAUUAGUAUUAUAAUGCUAUCAUACCAUCACUUUUUGUUUGUUUGAUUAUAAAUGGUUCAAAUAUACAUCAACAUUUAACUGUCUCUAAUGUGAAUAAAUUGUGAUAAGCUACAACUGUAAAACUACUUCUUUGACUCUAAAACCAGAAACAAAAUCGUCAACUUGUUAUGAAAAAUGAAAUAUAAAUACCUCUCAGAUUAAAAAAAGUAAAAUGAAAAAAAAAAUAUUCCCGGUCCUAGGUUUGAACUUGGUACUGUUGGUAUCCAAGUUGUUUCUUUCUGUGCCAACGACUAGACGAUCACGGCUAUGAACAGAUUACAUGACAGGGAUGCCAAAUGUAAUAACGUUGAAAUAAUCUAAACAUAAUGAAAGCGAACCAGUUUACACAAUAUUUAUAUAUUAUUGUUCAGUGAAGACCAAUCAAGGUAUUUAUUUUGUCAUCAACUGUGAGGUGGUUUUAUAGUGGCAUUUAUACUUCAUUCAGAUUUUAGAUAAUCUUAGUCCGUUUGUAAAUAUAUUGUAAAUCCCAACAAAUGAAUUGUAUUAAUACUAUU
rnacentral:lncRNA from 1 species